rnacentral:rRNA from 1 species
AACGAACGCUGGCGGCAUGCCUAACACAUGCAAGUCGAACGAGACCUUCGGGUCUAGUGGCGCACGGGUGCGUAACGCGUGGGAACCUGCCCUUAGGUUCGGAAUAACUCCCCGAAAGGGGUGCUAAUACCGGAUAAUGUCUUCGGACCAAAGAUUUAUCGCCUUUGGAUGGGCCCGCGUUGGAUUAGCUAGUUGGUAGGGUAAAAGCCUACCAAGGCGACGAUCCAUAGCUGGUCUGAGAGGAUGAUCAGCCACACUGGGACUGAGACACGGCCCAGACUCCUACGGGAGGCAGCAGUGGGGAAUAUUGGACAAUGGGCGAAAGCCUGAUCCAGCAGUGCCGCGUGAGUGGUGAAGGCGCUAGGGUUGUAAAGCUCUUUUAGCCGGGAUGAUAAUGACAGUACCGGGAGAAUAAGCUCCGGCUAACUCCGUG